AGAGUUUGAUCCUGGCUCAGAGUGAACGCUGGCGGCAGGCCUAACACAUGCAAGUCGAACGCAGCACAGCAGUAGCAAUACUGUGGGUGGCGAGUGGCGGACGGGUGAGGAAUGCAUCGGAAUCUGCCUAUUUGUGGGGGAUAACGUAGGGAAACUUACGCUAAUACCGCAUACGACCUACGGGUGAAAGUGGGGGACCGCAAGGCCUCACGCAGAUAGAUGAGCCGAUGCCGGAUUAGCUAGUUGGCGGGGUAAAGGCCCACCAAGGCGACGAUCCGUAGCUGGUCUGAGAGGAUGAUCAGCCACACUGGGACUGAGACACGGUCCAGACUCCUACGGGAGGCAGCAGUGGGGAAUAUUGGACAAUGGGCGCAAGCCUGAUCCAGCCAUGCCGCGUGAGUGAAGAAGGCCUUCGGGUUGUAAAGCUCUUUUGUCCGGAAAGAAAAGCAUUCGGUUAAUAACCGGGUGUCAUGACGGUACCGGAAGAAUAAGCACCGGCUAACUCGUGCCAGCAGCCGCGGUAAUAC
rnacentral:rRNA from 1 species